GGUCCUGACUCCUGACCAGCACUCACUGCUAGAGCAUGGCAUUAACAUGGCCAGGGUUAGGGGUUCGAUUCCCAUUGGGACCA